rnacentral:rRNA from 1 species
CCCGCUCAGAAACUUAAUGAAUUGCCGGGGCCCGCACAAGCGGAGAGCAUGUGGUUUAAUUCGAUGAUACGCGAGGAACCUUACCUGGGCUCGAACGUAAGAUGACUGUAGGUGAAAAGCUUUACAUCUCUUCGGAGCAUUUUACGAGGUGCUGCAUGGUUGUCGUCAGCUCGUGCCGUGAGGUGUCGGGUUAAGUCCCAUAACGAGCGCAACCCCUACCUUUAGUUGCCAUCAGGUAAUGCUGGGGACUCUAAAGGAACUGCCUACGCAAGUAGUGAGGAAGGCGGGGAUGACGUCAAAUCAGCACGGCCCUUACGUCCAGGGCUACACACGUGCUACAAUGGCCGAUACAGAGGGCAGCUACCUGGUGACAGGAUGCAAAUCUCCAAAGUCGGUCUCAGUUCGGAUCGGAGUCUGCAACCCGACUCCGUGAAGUUGGAUUCGCUAGUAAUCGCGCAUCAGCCAUGGCGCGGUGAAUACGUUCCCGGGCCUU